GUGCUGCGCGGCUGCCGGGCUGCGGCUGCUCCUGGGGCUGCGUGGUGGGCUGCGCGAGGCUCCCCCGGGGCUGCCUUGGGGGCUCGAUCCGCCGUGGCCAGAUCUGGCGGUCGAUCUGCGGCUGGAGGCGGGCUUCGCUCGCGGUCGGUGGUGCUGGGGUGGAGGGAGGCUCGGCCAUGGGGUCUUGCGGCGUGACUACGGUGGGCCGGCGGCUGGAGUACCCCGACGACCUCGCCGGCGACCUCCAGCGGGACGACGCUCGUGCGGCUGUGUGGCGGGCCGCCUCGUUUGGUCGUGGCGGUGGCUGUAUCGGGCGGAUCUGAAGCUGGAGCUUGUGUGGCAGCUUCGGGUGGAUCUGGUGGCAGCAGCUCGUGGUGGCAUCUUCGUGCGGCUGGAUCCGGAGCUUCGGGGUGGCAGCCUGUGCUCCUCGCCUGGUGAUUUUGGUCUGGUGGUGUGCGUCGCGCCGGCUGCGGCUCUUUGUGGGAGGUGCUGCAACAGCAAGGUUCGAUCCCCUGCCUUCAGUCUGCACUGCGGGCGCUUCGGUUCUGGCCUCCGGCAGGCGUGCGGAUGCGCGCGUGGGGCGCGUCAACGUGUCUGAUGUAUGGCUGCAGCCCGGAACCAUGGUGGUUCUUGGCUCGGGCAGCGCCCCUCUGCUCCUUGCCGGCAUGGUGCUUGGUGGGGCACGGUGGCUCGCGUUGCGUCCGGUGGCUCUGCGUCCGGCCGGCCAUUGUGGAUCUGGCGUCUAGUGUUGAGUUUGGCCGUCGGUGGUGUCCGCGAAGUGCGGCUGGCUGAGGCGGUUUGUCGUGCUUCUUCAUCGUUGGAGGGUUCGACGGCGGUGGUGGUCGGCUGCCGUAUUGCUGUAGGGAUGUGCUCAAACUUCGGGUGAGAACCCUGCAUCGGCUAUGCUGAUGCCAGCGGCGUCUACGGACGUCGUUUUCCUCGUAGGAGGUCCCGUCGUGGAGCUAUAACGCCUACAGUUCUUUGUUUGUGGUCUCCGGGUAAAAACUCAAGAUCGGGCUUGCCGGAUCGAAUGACGGUGUUGUGUGCUCGACAACACUAUCUCCUUGGAGGCGUCGUCUUGGAGACCCAAACAACGGCGUCUGUUGCUGUGUGUGGUUGUGGGUGGUGCGUUUGGUGGUGGUGGUGCGGCCUGCUUAGGACCGAGGGUGGUGUUUCUUCUUCAGGUGUUUCUCUUCGGCUGUCCUACAUGUGGUCUUCGGCCUGCUUCUAUGCAUGCUCAUGACCCUGUUCUGUUGAGGCGAGCCUUGGGCUCUUGGUCUCGUCUUGGUUCACCUUUGCUCAGUGACGAAGCAAUGACGCCUCCCCGCCUUGCUAAUCGUCUUGAGCUUCCGUGGCGGAGCACUCAGUCAAGGUUCGUGUUAAGCUUUGGCACAAGGUUUGUGUUAAGUUUUGGCACUCGUUGAUUGUGGAUGCUCCUCUGUUGUGCUGUGUGGUUGAUACGCACGCCGGUGCGGUGCGUUAGGCUGUUUGUAGAGUCUUGGUAUUGUGAUCUCUCGACGCACCCCUCAUCUACCUGGUCUUGUUAGUAUGCUAGCUAGGUCUUGCCUUAUGUUGGGCGUCUUGUUCCUCUCCUUUCAUUAUAACACUUGUUACUUGUCUGGUUUUCGGCUUGGUUUUCCUCAUAAACGGGGUCAAUUUGUUAAGGUUUUCGAUUCGGUUUUUCUUAUAAACUGGAUCACUCUCCUGGCAUUAUGGCCACUUUGAGUAAUAUAUUCAGGUGGAGGGACUCCUCCCCCGGUGAUUCUAAAAAAAAACUAUUUUGCACUCCUAGAAACAAAUGUAUCCAGUCUGUGCAAAUAAUGGCGCUAGGAUCCAUGAACGGAUAAGGAAAAGGGAAAGAGAUAGAAAUGAAUAGGCCGGUGGCGUCGCUAGGAGGACGUAUCUGCAAAACGUGACGACUUUUUUGGAUGACUUGCUCGAUAAGGUUCCACAUAGGUCCAAUAACUUGUGUCUUUCUGCUUUCGAAAAGCUCGCCGUGCAUCUUCGUGAAGUUUGCAUGUUCUUUUAACCCACCACUACUAUGUUAGCAGCAAAAUUAGACCGAACAAAAGAUAUACUGUAGUACAACAAAUGGUGGUGUACCAGAGAAAUUGUAUCUCAAUGGAGGGCGGAUUUUGUACAAAACCAUCUGCUCAUGCAGACCUAUAUGCUCUCGACAUUUUUUACACUCCCCCUGUAGAUGUAUAUAAACAUAAUUUAGAGUGUAGAUUCACUUAUUUUGCUCUGAGUGUAGUCCAUAUUGAAAUCUUUAAAAAGACUUGUAUUUAGAAAUGACGGGAGUAUAUGUUAGCAAAUACCAUACCAU
rnacentral:rRNA from 1 species